rnacentral:rRNA from 1 species
GACGAACGCUGGCGGCGUGCUUAACACAUGCAAGUCGAACGGUGAAGGAGGGAGCUUGCUCCCUCCGGUUGAGUGGCGGACGGGUGGGUAACAAGUGAGCAAUCUGCUCCGCCCUCUGGGAUAAGAACUGGAAACGACGUCUGCUAACGGAUACGACGCGGGAGGGCAUGCUCGACGCGUGGAAAGAACUUCGGUUCGGGGUGAGCGCGGGGCCUGUGAGCUUGUUGGUGGGGUACCGGCUCAUCACGGCGCAGACGGGUAGCCGGCCUGAGGGGGUGAGCGACAACACUGGGACUGAGACAGGGCGCAGACGCCUACGGGAGUGAGCAGUGGGGAAUAGUGCACUGCGGGCGCAAGCCGGAUGCAGCAACGCCGCGUGAGGGACGACGGCCUUCGGGUUGUAAACCACGUUUGGCAGGGAAGAAGCGGAAUUGACGGUACCUGCAUAAGAAGCACCGGCUAACUACGUG